CAGUUUAGGGUUUAAAACCCUAAUGCUGAUUGCAUGGAAAAGCUCAGUUUAUAGUUUAAAACUUAAUGCUGGCUGAAAGGGAAAAGUUCAGUUUAGGGUUUAAAACCCUAAUGCUGACUAAAAGGAAAAUUCAGUUUAAGGUUUAAAACCCUAAUACUGAUUGGCUGGGGACAAAGUUCGAGAAUAAUAAGCGACCUCUUUUUUUUUUGAAUUUUCUUGUUUUAGUAGAAGAUAAAAGGGAGUUUCGUGGAAACCUACCUUUCGAGUGAAUUCCUUAUUGCCAAAAUGUUUCUUGUACCUGUGUACCUUCUUCUUUGGGCGACACCUGCUUCUUGCACGGUUGUCUUGGAUUAACACCUGUUUCAAUUUCUCAGACAAAGAACAAUUGUUAGUUCGAAAAUGACGGUCGGUUUGGUGACCUUGAUCGUUCCCAAUUGCUUCGUUGCGUCUUUACUUCUGUUGCGAAGUCCCGCCAUUGAUUCGAAUUGAACGGCGAAACCUUUAGACUGCUCA
rnacentral:lncRNA from 1 species